rfam:Triticum aestivum genome assembly, contig: Triticum_aestivum_CS42_TGACv1_scaffold_003667_1AL
CUUGUACUCCCUCCGUUCGAAAAUACUUGUUGGAGAAAUGAAUAAAAAGGGGUGUAUCUUAGAACUGAAAUACGUCUAGAUACAUCCAUUCCUCUGACAAGUAUUUCCGGACGGAGGGAGUACUAU